UCGCAUUCUACCAAAUCACACAACACUUUUUUUCUAUGUUUUAUAUGGUCGGUUAUGUGAUGUGAUGUGUUUGUGUCACCAUAAAAAGCUGAUAUUCAGUCGUGUUUUUUGAUAUUUUGUAAUCGAGUACCUUUUUAAAGGUCUAAUGGCUCCGUUCAGCUGUUGUGUGCAGACGGUGGAAAAGUUCAACAAGUAAACAUUUAUUUAAUCCAAAUUAAAUACUCAUAUUUCUAUGUAAAAUGUCACAUUAUUUUAUAAAUAAAUAAGUAAGAAACAAAA